UGUUAAAAAUUUCAUCCAUUUGUUUCGUGAAAAACUGGCGUGGUUGACAAAAUAACCAAAAAGUAACAUAUGACAUGUCACUUGUACCUCAUUCUGACGUAAAAUGAGUAAUUUGUAACAAUAAAAAUAGAUGAAAUUUUAACA
rfam:Gossypium arboreum cultivar AKA8401 contig_3307_3, whole genome shotgun sequence.